rnacentral:rRNA from 1 species
UACGUAGGGACCAAGCGUUGUUCGGAUUUACUGGGCGUAAAGGGCGCGUAGGCGGCCUUCUAAGUCGAACGUGAAAUCCCCGGGCUCAACCCGGGAACUGCGUCCGAUACUGGAAGGCUUGAAUCCGGGAGAGGGAUGCGGAAUUCCAGGUGUAGCGGUGAAAUGCGUAGAUAUCGGGAGGAACACCUGUGGCGAAAGCGGCUCUCUGGACCACAACUGACGCUGAGGCGCGAAAGCUAGGGGAGCAAACCGGG